GCCAAGAGUCCGACUGCACUACCCAGGCGUCCCAGGUCUCGAUUUCUCAGGCUGUGCUUCCUGCGGCAUCGAGGGUCUAUAAUAUCACAGUGUCAGAAGGGAGCUUCAGCCAUGUCUGUCUUGAGCCACUGCACAGAUGAUUCCUGCAUUUGUCUUACAGAAUUGCUUGCUUGAAGCGAUCGUUAGUUUUAGUUCAUGGACCAGGAAGGAGCUUCUCCAGGGAUGGGCACUCAAAUCACAGAACACGAAGCUGAGUCUAGACAACUGAAUGCCACGAGGGUCUCAUGAUUUUUGAGAGAUGUUUGGGGCGAUGCCAUGUGCAGGUACAGAG